CCUGCGGGGCGAGCGUGGCGAGCAGCCUUCGGCUUUUGACGAUGGUAAGACUGCGGAGGUGGGAAAACGGAGUCUUCCUUGACACGGCGCUAGUCUUUGGUGUCUGCAGAGAUGGUGAGAGCAGACCUGCAGGUUGAAUCUUAAAAGUAAUGAAUGGAGCCCUGAAAUGAAUUAAAGGUGUUGGCUGUGGACUUUGAAAAAGUCACGGCAAAACCAUCAUCUUAGGAUGCUGAGUGUAAGGAUCUUUGUGAUGAAGUUUCUAUAAAUGAUGUCUGCAGUGUGUGAGACAGAACUGAACU